rnacentral:misc_RNA from 1 species
CAUCCGCUGAUUUCCAGCUGAAUUAUAGCCUUUUCAAGCAACAUGUUCAGGGUUCUGGAGCUGGCCAAGUAUAGAGCUUUUGAUCCAGUGGGGAAGUAUUUGUGAUCAGAAUGGAUCCUCAGGCUUUUAUCAGGUUAUCGAUAGGCUCCCUUGGGCUAAGGAUUCCUGGGACAGCAUUGAAUUCUGCAAAAUCAGGAAUCCAUGCAUUCUCUUCUCCAUGUUCAUGUGAGAUACGGCUUCGAGGUUUCCCUGUGCAAACAACAUCUGUCCCUUUAGUAUCCUCACCUGAAGCAACACCUGAUAUUCACAGCAUUGCCUCAAGCUUCUAUCUUGAAGAAUCAGAUCUGAAAACAUUAUUGACACCCGGUUGUUUCUAUACUCAUCAUGCAUGUCUUGAGAUUGUUGUUUUCACAGGGAGGAAGGGGUCCCAUUGUGGUGUUGGCAUCAAAAGGCAUCAGAUAGGAACAUUUAAGCUGGAGGUGGGUCCUGAAUGGGGUGAAAGGAAAGCCAGCAGUUCUUUUCAAUGGCUGGAUAGGUAUUGGAAAAAACAAGCAGGAGAGCAGAAAACCAGAGGAGCUGAGCUUCAUUUGAGAGUAAAAUUGGAUCCUGAUCCAAGAUAUGUUUUCCAGUUGGAAGAUGUGACCACAUCAAGUCCUCAGAUAGUCCAGCUUCAAGGCUCCAUCAAGCAGCCUAUAUU